CCUGGCACUGAGCGCUGCUGAGAAGUGCCUGGCUCUGUCCUCUUUGCACCCUGCCUUCAGGGAUUUAUACACACUAAUGAAUCUCCCCCUGGGCCCCCUCUUCUCCAGGCUGAACAGCCCCAGCUCUCUCACACUCCCCUCAUGGAAGAGAUGCCCCAGCCCCUCCAUCACUUGGUGGCCCUACACUGGGCCUGUAGUCCAACCGGCCUGUAGUUCCCCAGGUCCUCCUCCUUGAAGACAGGAGUGAUGGUCUUCAUGCACUUCUCCCAGUCACCGCGAAUGAUCAAAGACGGUGCAUCCCUUCAGGGUCCGUGGACUUCCUUAACUUUCAGUCAAAAACGUUCAGUUUUUCAUUACUUCCAGUUUACUUUGGUAUUCCCUGACCCUGUCCUCUUCCACCAAGAGUACAUCUUCUUUGCUCCGGCCUUUCCUCCUGGUCUCUGGGACCCAGGAUUCCCAAAUGCCUGAAUGCACGCCAAGGCCUGGGGAUGGAGCUGCACACCCCAACCACGACAUCUGGGUGCUCCAGGACUGCAAGACCAGCUGCACAACGUCCCCCGCAGCAACAAGGCCUUGGCCAGCACCUCGCAUCUGUGGCAUCCCGUAUCAGGUGAGUGCUUCAUCGAACAGCCCCUCAACAGCAGGUACUUCUCUGCCCCCACACCGUGCCCUGCUCACCAGCCCCUUCCCAAGCAGUCCAAAGGGUCAGCCCUCGCGGCCCUGCUGUCCACCCACUCUGGCCCACCCACCGGCUCUGGGACCCUCAGGGUGGAAGCUGGGCAGGUCUCAUUUCACAAGAGGUGAGGGCGAUGGAAAGAGACGUCGGAAGGUUUCCUCUCUCUGCCACAUCACGCCCAGACAUCCCCCACCCUCCGGGGUACACAUAUCGGUGCAGGAAGCUGCCUCUGAUCCCCAUUCAUUGAUGCUGAGUUUUCCCUAAGAUGACCCCUCCUGCGAAGCAUGGCCAAGACCCCAGAUCUGUGCACAAAAUGAUAACAUUUAUUGAAAGAGUAAUUUCUUUUUUUUUUUUUUUAAUACAAAAGAAAGCUCUGUACAUAGUACUGUGAUUACUUCCACAUCCUUCCAGAAACACAACCCUGGAAACUGGAGGGGAAAAAAAAAAUCCCACACACACUUAUGCACACACACGCGCGCACACAUGCACACACACACACGCGCACACACACAACCCUCAAACCAGUAAAAUGAACUAAAAAUGUCACCACACAAUAAAUGCCAUUUCGUCCCUGAUACACAAGUGUUCUUACAAGUCUGCACUUAAAUAAAAUACACCAUUAGCGUUUAACCAGCAGUUGCCUUUGGGUAACGAGGGAGGGGAUGCAGCAAGACGCCCCCGCAAUGGCACUCCUGCCACCCCGGCCCCGCAGCCCUGCUCCACAGUGCCAGCACAAGCAAAGCGGAGCAAAGCACGGCCCCGGCGAUGUGCUUGGGACAAGGGUAACGCGAGCCCCAAGCCCACCUUUCUCUCCCUGGGUGAACUCCUAGCUACUCAGCCUUCUCUUUCGGAAGCAGCACCGAGCGGCUUUCUUAGAGCUUCUGGUGCGGCGCUCCCGCACGCUCUGAGCUGCGGGGGACAUGCGGCUCAGGGCGAGGAUGCUAAGGGGAGGCAGCGUGCAACAUCACGGUCACCAGACGGGCCACUAUGAGCCUGCCACAGGCUGCAUGGCAGAACCAGGGCUGGCUACCCAAGGGAGCUCUCUGCACAGAGGGACAUGGAAGGAACCUGUCCACAUCUGUGCACUAAGGAGCAGCGCAAGCUGAGGCUGUAGGGAGGGAAAGUAGAGCCCAGGUCAUCAGCUAGAAGUUCAAGAGGUGCCACCUGCACCACGAGCAGGGAGAGCGGCCACUGCUGGUCACUCGCCCCCCAGAGAGGACUGGGGACGUCCCUUUGCUGCUCCACACCGACAGCGGUGACAGAACAGCCAGCGGCCCAGGACCAGAGGUGGAAGCGGCCACCAGAAAACCCAGCCCACCUCUGGCCACCGGGCACACCGCAAGCCCCUGUGCCCCCUCCUAGAGGCCAGCCGCUGCUUCACUUGCCUCCUGCCCCUUAAACCCGAAGUUAUAGGUAUGGAGUCCUCAGUGCAGGGAAGUAGGAAACAAUCGUCUGGCUCGGGUCAGCUCAGUCCCUGGCACGUGCUGGUGGGCAGAGAGCGCAGCUUAAACGCUAAUGCUGAGGGAACAUGUCCAAGGUUACAAUACAAACUCAAAAAGCAAGGCCCCCUUCCUGCCUCCAUGCCCACCCACCCCUCUCCCAUCCCCCUGGUACAAACCCCAUGAAAACUGUACAGGAGCCAAACUUUUAUUCCUUAAAGAAUUACAUAAAUACUGAGUUUAACACUUAGAAAAAUAAAGUCAUUUUCUUUUUUUUUUUUCUUUUUUUUUUUUUUUCUUUUUUUCCCCAAGGCUUCGUCUUUAACU